rnacentral:snRNA from 1 species
AUGUUAGCUUUGAUGGCACAUAUACUAAAACUGGAACGAUACAGAGAUUAGCAUGGCCCCUGCGCACGGAUGACACGCAAAUUUGUGAAGCGUUCCAUAUUUUU